GAUGAACGCUGACAGCAUGCUUAACACAUGCAAGUCUUUGGCGAAUCUGUGCUUGCACAGGCUAGCCAAGGCGGACGGGUGAGUAACGCGUAAAGAACUUGCCCUGCAGACAGGGAUAACAGACGGAAACGACUGAUAACACCUGAUACAGUUGCCGGCACGCAUGUGCCUGGCAAUGAAAAGAGAUGCUGCAGGAGAGCUUUGCGUCCUAUUAGCUUGUUGGUGAGGUGACGGCUCACCAAGGCGAUGAUAGGUAGCCGGCCUGAGAGGGUGAACGGCCACAAGGGGACUGAGAUACGGCCCUUACUCCUACGGGAGGCAGCAGUGGGGAAUAGUGGACAAUGGGGGCAACCCUGAUCCAGCAAUUCUGUGUGCACGAAGAAGGUUUUCGGAGUGUAAAGUGCUUUCAGCAGGGAAGAAGAAAGUGACGGUACCUGCAGAAGAAGCGACGGCUAAAUACGUG
rnacentral:rRNA from 1 species